UCUGUCAACGGUAAGUGAAACGAAGUUGACAGAUUCACCACA
rnacentral:sRNA from 1 species